rnacentral:tRNA from 1 species
GCACAGAUGGUGUAAUGGCAGCACUAGGGUCUCCAAAACCUUUGGUCAGGGUAUCUCCUACGGAGACGCUUCGCGAACAAAUUCUUGUCUGUGCG